UAAGGAACACCACCAGUGAGAAGGACCACUAGUGGUCUGUAGACACGAGAUGCACGAAAGCGUGAGCAGACAACAGAUAGACACUGUAGUACACACGUAAAAGAUGUCGAAUAGCCGUGUGGAGCGUCAGAUCCUGGUGCCGCAGCUAACGCAUUAAGUAUUCCGCCUGGGGAGUACGCACGCAAGUGUUAAAACUCAAAGGAAUUGACGGGGACCCGCACAAGCAGCGGAGCAUGUGGUUUAAUUCGAAGCAACGCGAAGAACCUUACCAGGUCUUGACAUCCAGAGAACGUUCCAGAGAUGGAUUGUGUCCUUCGGGACAUGGGAGACAGGUGGUGCAUGGCUGUCGUCAGCUCGUGUCGUGAGAUGUUGGGUUAAGUCCCGCAACGAGCGCAACCCUUGUCUUUAGUUGCCAACAGGUCAAGGUGGGCACUCUAAACAGACUGCCGGGGACAACCCGGAGGAAGGUGGGGAUGACGUCAAAUCAUCAUGCCCCUUAUGAUCUGGGCUACACACGUGCUACAAUGGUCGGUACAAAGGGCAGCCAAGGAGUAAUGUGGAGCGAAUCCUAUAAAGCCGAUCCCAGUUCGGAUUGCAGUCUGAAACUCGCCCACAUGAAGUUGGAGUUGCUAGAAUCGCGAAUCAGAAUGUCACGGUGAAUACGUUCCCGGGUCCUUGUACACACCGCCCGUCACACCAUGAAGUUGGGGGCGCCAGAGCCAGUAGUCCAACCGCAAGGGGGAAGGUGUCGAAGGUGAUGACUAAUGACUGGGGUGAAGUCGUAACAAGGUAGCCGAUAAGGCGAAUCGCGCCGCUC
rnacentral:rRNA from 1 species